GAACAACAGAUAAGUUUAUCCGUUGGAUAUAAGAGAUUUCCAGAGGUCUGCUAGAGGUCAUGAAAAGAGCUUUUUUUAUGCUGGGUAUGGGAUACCAUACUGCCAAAAAAUUAAAAAUAUCGAAAUUGAUUAUUAUUCUCCAUGGAUUUGGCAUGUUUCUGUGAAAGUCGGUUGUAAAAAUUCCCUAUAGAUCGAAAGUUAUUAUGGAAAACGUGACUGCGCAACGAGAGGGCCUGGUCCGCACUUGAAAAUUUAAAUCUAUCAACAUUUCAAAAAGAAAUCGAUGCAGACGUGGAGCAACUUUUUUUUCGAAACACGUGCUUCGAGAAACGUGUUUUUUUAUGUUGUAAUUGAU